UACGGAGGGGGCUAGCGUUGUUCGGAAUUACUGGGCGUAAAGCGCACGUAGGCGGCUUUGUAAGUCAGGGGUGAAAUCCCGGGGCUCAACCUCGGAACUGCCUUUGAUACAGCAUAUCUUGAGUCCGAUAGAGGUGGGUGGAAUUCCUAGUGUAGAGGUGAAAUUCGUAGAUAUUAGGAAGAACACCGGUGGCGAAGGCGGCCCACUGGAUCGGUACUGACGCGGAGGUGCGAAAGCGUGGGGAGCAAACAGG
rnacentral:rRNA from 1 species